rnacentral:tRNA from 1 species
GCUCUUAUAGUUUAAAAUAAAACAUUGAUUUUGUAAAUCAGAGAUAAUAAAAAAUAUUUAAUUGCU